GAGCUCGCGGCCUAUCAGCUAGUUGGUGGGGUAACGGCCUACCAAGGCGGUGACGGGUAGCUGGUCUGAGAGGAUGGCCAGCCACAUUGGGACUGAGAUACGGCCCAGACUCCU
rnacentral:rRNA from 1 species